rnacentral:lncRNA from 1 species
UCUUGAUAUCAACUCUUGAGUUACAGCAAUAUUGUUCAAAAUUGAGAUAGUUCAGAAGAAAACCAUACUUGAUUAACAGCACGAUGCAAAUGGAUAGUGGAAGAUUGUUCAGCAUGAACACUGAUUAUGUCAGCUCCAGCUUUGAUGAAAUCUGGCACCCGCAGGUCUGGUUCUACAAUCAUCUACAGCGCUUUAACUAGAGUUAGAAAAAGCAAUCAUCAUUCAAUAUCAGAUUAAUUUAACAUAUGUAUAAAGAUGAAUACCAAGUGAACAUCCAAAGGUAGAUCCGUCACAGGGCGCAAUGCAUCAACCACAAGAGGUCCAAUUGUAAUAUUUGGAACAAAGCGACCAUCCAUAACAUCAACAUGAAUCCAAUCACAACCUGCCAACUCCACUGCUUUCACCUAGGAAAG